rnacentral:lncRNA from 1 species
CAAGUCCCCACCUCCACCGUACGUCUACAGCUCCCCACCACCACCAUACUAUUCUCCUUCUCCUAAGGUUUACUACAAGUCCCCACCUCCACCAUACGUCUACAGCUCUCCACCUCCACCAUACUACUCUCCUUCUCCUAAGGUUUACUACAAGUCCCCACCUCCACCAUACGUCUACAGCUCCCCACCUCCACCAUACUACUCUCCUUCUCCUAAGGUUUACUACAAGUCCCCACCUCCACCAUACGUCUACAGCUCCCCACCUCCACCAUACUACUCUCCUUCUCCUAAGGUUUACUACAAGUCCCCACCUCCACCAUACGUCUACAGCUCCCCACCUCCACCAUACUACUCUCCUUCUCCAAAGGUUUACUACAAGUCUCCACCACCACCAUACGUCUACAACUCUCCACCACCACCAUACUACUCUCCUUCUCCUAAGGUUUACUACAAGUCCCCACCUCCACCAUACGUCUACAGCUCCCCACCUCCACCAUACUACUCUCCUUCUCCUAAGGUUUACUACAAGUCUCCACCUCCACCAUACGUCUACAGCUCCCCACCACCACCGUACUACUCGCCUUCUCCAAAGGUUUACUACAAGUCUCCACCACCAUCAUACGUCUACAGCUCCCCACCACCACCGUACUACUCGCCUUCUCCAAAGGUUUACUACAAGUCUCCACCACCAUCAUACGUCUACAGCUCUCCACCACCACCAUACUACUCUCCUUCUCCUAAGGUUUACUACAAGUCCCCACCUCCACCAUACGUCUACAGCUCCCCACCUCCUCCAUACUACUCUCCUUCUCCUAAAGUCACUUACAAGUCUCCACCACCACCAUAUGUCUACAAGACGCCUUACUAUUGAUUUUGAAUUGUUUCCUUAACAAGAAGCAUGAGUGCUAUAAUUUUAUUUAUGAUUGGUUUUGUUGAUUCUUCUGAUUUUGUUCUUUGUUUAACUAUCUUGUUAUGCUUUUUUUAACUAAUAAAAUUUGGCUAUCUUUUUAAAUGCA